rnacentral:rRNA from 1 species
AUGAAUUUCCUAGUUUGGAACUGUCGAGGGGCGGGGAACCCUCGAACAGUUUGUCAGGCUCUAUGUAGAGUCAAUUCCCCGAGGAUGGUGUUCUUGUGUGAAACUAGGCAGCAAAAGAAUAAAAUGAGUAGACUUCGUAAUUGUUUAGGGCUUUGUGGUUUUGAUGGCAUCAGUAGUCAGGGAAAAAGUGGUGGUUUAGCUUUGUACUGGGAUGAAUCUUUGUACGUAAGUGUUCAAGAUGAGAGAUGGAUUGAUGCGUAUGUCCGAGUAUCACCCUCUGAUCCUCUUUGGCGAGUUACCUUUGUAUACGGCGAGCUGAGGGUGGAGAAUAGGCAUCUUAUGUGGGAAAGUUUGUGCAGAUUGAGGAACACAUCAGACUUGCCGUGGCUUGUUGCGGGCGACUUUAAUGAGGUGUUGUGGGAAUUCGAGCACAUGUCCGCGACAACUAGGCCACAAGCUCAGAUGACAACGUUCAGAGAUUGCUUUGAAACAUGUCAUCUCAUUGACUUGGGGUUCUCUGGAUAUCCUUUUACAUAUGAUAACAAGAGGAGCGGUCGUGCAAACGUAAAGGUCCGACUGGACAGGGCCGCGGCCGAUAACGCAUGGCGUGACAUCUUCCCCGAAGCGGCGGUGGUGCAUCUUACGUCGCCAAGGUCAGACCAUAGGCCACUGCUCGUUCGCUGCAUUCCGUAG